AGGUACCUAGUAUAAAUAAAAUAUUUGAUUUCGGCUCAAAAGUUCGUGGUUUGACUCCAUGGUUACCUA
rnacentral:tRNA from 1 species